rnacentral:rRNA from 1 species
GGGGAAUAUUGGGCAAUGGGGGAAACCCUGACCCAGCAACGCCGCGUGAGGGAAGAAGGUUUUCGGAUUGUAAACCUCUGUCCUUGGUGAAGAAGGAAGUGACGGUAGCCAAGGAGGAAGCCCCGGCUAACUACGUGCCAGCAGCCGCGGUAAUACGUAGGGGGCGAGCGUUGUCCGGAAUGACUGGGCGUAAAGGGCGCGUAGGCGGCUUUUUAAGUCUGGAGUGAAAGUCCUGCUUUCAAGGUGGGAAUUGCUUUGGAAACUGGAGAGCUUGAGUGCGGAAGAGGCAAGUGGAAUUCCCAGUGUAGCGGUGAAAUGCGUAGAGAUUGGGAGGAACACCAGUGGCGAAGGCGACUUGCUGGGCCGUAACUGACGCUGAUGCGCGAAAGCGUGGGGAGCGAAC